GCGCUGGACAAGGGCAGGGGCCGCCUCAGGGAGACGGUGGAGGCGGUGACCGUGGAAGGAGGCGACGAGGCACUGGAGGGCGUCGGGGCGCUGCACCUCGCCGCCGCCAGGGGGAACCUGGUGAUGUGCGCCCACUUGGUCGAGGAGCUGCGCAUGGACGUGAACGCCGUCGACAACGGAGGUAGAACGCCUCUGAUUCAUGCUAUGUACGGUGAGAGGGUGGGCGCUUUCAAGUAUCUUCUUGAUCAUGGUGCCAAUCCGGACAGAGUUGACCCCAAUGGAUUUGCCCCUCUACAUUCUGCUGCUGGAUCAGGAUAUUGUGAAAUGGUAAAGCUAUUACUUGCAAGAGGAGCUCGCACUGACCCGGUAACUUGCUGUGGGACACCACUUCAUAUUGCUGCUACUGAAGGGCAAGACCGUGCUAUGAAGAUUUUACUUGGCCACAAUGCAGAUUACAACAAGAUGAUAAAUGGUAUGACACCUCUCUAUUUUGCUAUAAAUGUCUCCUCGGUGAAAUGUGCAAAACUCCUGAUUCAGGCUGGUGGUAUUGCCAAUGGAGAUUUUAUCUUAACCGCUUUAGCUGAUGCUCCAAACAAUGGAUGA
rnacentral:rRNA from 1 species